AGCGAACGUUAGCGGCGCGCCUAACACAUGCAAGUCGCACGAGAAGAGGGCAACCUCUGAAAGUGGCGCACGGGUGCGUAACACGUAGAUAACCUGCCCUUCGCAGGGGGAUAACGUUCC
rnacentral:rRNA from 1 species